rnacentral:misc_RNA from 1 species
ACAUCUGGAGCUGGAGGUGAGACCAUAGGCCAGGUGUGGAGUACCUAUAAGAACGUCAAGUCCCACUAUGCCAUCCUCCCUUUUCUCCCCCUUUCGUUUCUCUCUCUCACUCUCUAAUUCGCCAAUGGACCCUCCACCACCCCCUCAACCGCCGCCUGCUCCCCCCCUCUCCACUACCACUGCCUCCGCCACCGCCACCAACACCACUACCACCACCCUGCCCCCUCACCUUGCUACCAAUCCCCCCGCCCCAACCUACCCUGAGUCCAUCGACUCCUCCCCGCGCUCCCGCACCACAGAUUCUUACUUCGAUGACCCGCCUCCCCUCUCCUCAAAGCUCCGCCUCAU